rnacentral:piRNA from 1 species
UCCNGUGACCUGAGCUCCUGCAGCCAGAGC